rnacentral:lncRNA from 10 species
AGCAGAAAAUAUUAUUUCCAGGGAAUAGGUACUUAUUUAUGGAUAGGACAUACUCCAUUUACACCAAAUUAGAACACAAAAUAUUGCAGAUGGAUUUCUUUCCAAGAUCUACUUGUAUGAAAAUCAAAGAAAAAUGAUAAAUGAACAACUUGCUAUGAGGGAUGACUUCUACACGACAACUCUGGAAUUGAAACAGACUUAACGCAAAUGUCCCAGUUUUGGGGGCUUCCUGCGUCUACAGUUCCAGGUUUCUAACGGUGCCCUUGGGCACUGGAAAUGCAAGGGCCUUCUGAAUCAUUAGGUAAGAGAAAAGUCAUUUUCAAUGGAAAUUAUACGGUAUUUCACUUACUUGUAGUUCUCUGAAAUUGGUCAGCGCUGUGUGGUAUGGAUAGGAUAGGUGGUCUUUAGCUGUCAGUGGGUUGACCUGGAGGGUAUAAGAUGGCUUCAUGCAUGUGACUGGUAUCUCAGCAGGGGAGCCAGGAAGGCUGGCUCGGCUGGACCGGUCUCCUUCCCCACAUAGUGUCCAGGCCUCUCUACGUGGUCUCUCCAGCAAUAGUUGAGCUUCUUCUAUGGCUGCUCAGGGCUGCGAGAAACAAAGUGGAAAUUGCCAGGCCUUUCAAAACCCGCGUCUGAAAACUGGCAUGGUGUCACUUCUCCAGUGUUCUAUUUGUCAAAGAAGUCACAAGAAAAGUGAACAGAGACUCCACCACUCAUGAAAAGUGUCAAGGAAUUUUCAGCCAUCUUUAACCUGCCUCAGGGUCAUUGGAGGGAAAACAUCCAGAAUUAGAGUUUAAAGCUGUCCUCAGGCAACUGAUGAGCAAUAUUCAAAGGGUCUUACAGCAGUAGAGUCCCUAUGUAAGUGAUUUUUAAAGUCUACAUCUCCUUGCAACAUGAUUAUUCAAAGUAGCUCUUUCUCCAUUGCUUUGGGAGGCCAAAGUGGGAGGAUCACCUGAGCCCAGGAGUUCGAGGCUGCAAUGAGUGAUGAUCGCCCCACUGCACUCCAGCCUGGGUGACAGAGUGAGAACCUGUAUUAAAAACAAAACAAAAAACAAAACAAACCAACGAAAAACACAGCUCUUUCAUUUGGCAGCAAUUGGAUAGAAAUUGAACUCCAAAAUACAACCUAUGAAAAGGAACCCUAUGUUUGAUGUCCUCAUGUUCUUUUCCAUUUGAAAUAAGAACUUACAUAGAUAUUCUCGUCUUUGAAUAUUGCUUCCUUAAGUAUGUUAAGAAUGCUCAUAAAAUUCACUGGAAAAAAAAAUCCUAUUUCUAUAUGUACACACUGGUCCAAGCUAAAAUGUCUUUGGUUCACUUACUGUGCCAAUUGCCUUUAAACUGAGGCCAGUUUUUCAUUCUGGGUACAAAGGAAAAGGAGCUAACCCAUAAUUUGUAGCUUUCCCACCCAGAGUUGGAAGGGCCCCUGAUGUAUUACUAUUGUAUCAACUGCAUUGCCAAGGCAUGAAAUGGUGAAUUAGGACUCAAGUUUCAAUUUAACAUUGCUACUUCCUCCCUGUCUCUUUCCCUUUGACACUCUUCCAAUGUUUGUUCCUAUAAUAUAGCCUGGGUGUGUGUGUGUGUCUGAGAAUUUCCUUUUUUAAAAAAAUUCUUGCAUAAGUCCAGGCCUAGAAACUUUUCAGAUAAAGUAAUCAAAGCAGAUGAAAAGUCACAUUUCUAUUCUGCAUCAUAAACUUCACUGGGUGCCUAAGUCAGAGGUCCUUGCUUCAGACGCCUGACUCCAGAACAUUGUCCUCUAAACACAUGCUGGACCACAGAGCCCCAGCAGAGCCAUGAAUUAAUAAUAUGGAAAAGGAUUCUUCUCCUUAUGGUAACUUCCUAAUGGCUUUAAGUGUUUUUAGACCUUUAAAUUCUUAACAACAACAACAAAAAUGGGGUAGGGGAAGUAGAGGAGAAAAA